rnacentral:rRNA from 1 species
AGAGUUUGAUCCUGGCUCAGAUUGAACGCUGGCGGCAGGCCUAACACAUGCAAGUCGAGCGGUUGAGGGUAGCUUGCUACCCGAUACAGCGGCGGACGGGUGAGUAAUACAUGGGAAUCUGCCUGGUAGUGGGGGACAACGUUUCGAAAGGAACGCUAAUACCGCAUACGCCCUACGGGGGAAAGGGGGGGAUCUUCGGACCUCUCGCUAUCAGAUGAGCCCAUGUCAGAUUAGCUUGUUGGUGAGGUAAAGGCUCACCAAGGCGACGAUCUGUAACUGGUCUGAGAGGAUGAUCAGUCACACUGGAACUGAGACACGGUCCAGACUCCUACGGGAGGCAGCAGUGGGGAAUAUUGGACAAUGGGCGCAAGCCUGAUCCAGCCAUGCCGCGUGUGUGAAGAAGGCCUUAGGGUUGUAAAGCACUUUCAGUGGGGAGAAAGGUAAUUCACUUAAUACGUGAGUUAAUUGAUGUUACCCACAGAAGAAACACCGGCUAACUCCGUGCCAGCAGCCGCGGUAAUACGGAGGGUGCAAGCGUUAAUCGGAAUUACUGGGCGUAAAGCGUACGUAGGGUGGUUUGUUAAGCCAGCUGUGAAAUCCCCGGGCUCAACCUGNGCACUGCAGUUGGAACUGGCAAGCUAGAGU